GGCUUAGAAGCAGCCACUCAUUUAAAGAGUGCGUAAUAGCUCACUAGUCGAGUGAUUGUGCGCCGAAAAUGUAACGGGGCUAAAAUUCAUACCGAAGCUUAGGAAUGAUAGUAAUAUUGUUGGUAGAUGAGCGUUGUGUAAGUCUGCGAAGCUACACCGAAAGGAGUAGUGGAGAUAUCACAAGUGAGAAUGCCGGAAUGAGUAGCGAGAAUUAUGUGAGAAUCAUAAUGGUCGAAAAUCUAAGGUUUCUUGAGGAAGGUUCGUCCGCUCAAGGUAAGCCGGGAGCUAAGGCGAGGCCGAGAGGCGUAGUCGAUGCACAUACGGUAAAAAUUCCGUAGCCACCGAAGUCGUUAAAUACAGGGACACAGGAACAUAGCCUAACCCCACCGUUGGUUGAGUGGGGCGUAAGGGAGCGAAAAAUAGUAGCGAAGUAGGUGAUUGUACACUGGCGAGAAAAGCUGUAUGUAUUGAUAAGGUGCCCGUACCGCAAACCGACACAGGUAGAUGAGGAGAGAAUCCUAAGACCAGCGGGAGAAGUGUUGUUAAGGAACUCGGCAAAAUGACCCCGUAACUUCGGGAUAAGGGGAGCCUACGCGAGUAGGCCGCAGAGAAUAGUCUCAAGCGACUGUUUAGCAAAAACACAGGUCUAUGCUAAAUCGAAAGAUGAUGUAUAUGGGCUGACGCCUGCCCGGUGCUGGAAGGUUAAGGGGAAGUGUUAGAGCAAUCGAAGCACUGAACUUAAGCCCCAGUAAACGGCGGCCGUAACUAUAACGGUCCUAAGGUAGCGAAAUUCCUUGUCAGGUAAGUUCUGACCCGCACGAAUGGCGUAACGACUUGAGAGCUGUCUCAACAACAUACCCGGCGAAAUUGAAGUACUGGUAAAGAUGCCAGUUACCCGUGAUAAGACGGAAAGACCCCAUGGAGCUUUACUGUAACUUGAUAUUGAAUUUUUGUAUUACAUGUACAGGAUAGGUGGGAGACAGAGAACUAAUGCCGCCAGGUGUUAGGGAGUCGAUGUUGGGAUACCACUCUUGUAAUAUGAAGGUUCUAACCUGCACCCGUGAAUCCGGGUGGGGGACACUGUCAGGUGGACAGUUUGACUGGGGCGGUCGCCUCCUAAAAGGUAACGGAGGCGUUCAAAGGUUGGUUCAGCACGGACGGAAAUCGUGCAACGAGUGCAAACGCAUAAACCAGCCUAACUGCGAGACCGACAAGUCGAGCAGUAACGAAAGUUGGAGUUAGUGAUCCGGCGGUAUGAGAGUGGAAUUGCCGUCGCUCAACGGAUAAAAGCUACCCUGGGGAUAACAGGCUGAUCUCCCCCAAGAGUCCACAUCGACGGGGAGGUUUGGCACCUCGAUGUCGGCUCAUCGCAUCCUGGAGCUGUAGUCGGUUCCAAGGGUUGGGCUGUUCGCCCAUUAAAGCGGUACGCGAGCUGGGUUCAGAACGUCGCGAGACAGUUCGGUCCCUAUCUAUCACGGGCGUAGGAAAUUUGAGGAGAGCUGACCUUAGUACGAGAGGACCGGGUUGGACGUACCGCUGGUGCACCUGUUGUUCUGCCAAGGGCAUAGCAGGGUAGCUAAGUACGGACGGGAUAAACGCUGAAGGCAUCUAAGCGUGAAGCCCCCUUCGAGAUAAGAUUUCCCAUAGCGUAGGCUAGUAAGGACCCAUGAAGACUACAUGGUUGAUAGGCCGGAGGUGGAAGUGCAGUAAUGUAUGUAGCUGACCGGUACUAAUAGUCCGAGGGCUUGACCA
rnacentral:rRNA from 1 species